AACGAACGCUGGCGGCAGGCUUAACACAUGCAAGUCGAACGCCCCGCAAGGGGAGCGGCGGACGGGUGAGUAACGCGUGGGAACGUGCCCUUUGCUACGGAAUAGCCCUGGGAAACUGGGAGUAAUACCGUAUGUGCCCUUCGGGGGAAAGAUUUAUCGGCAAAGGAUCGGCCCGCGUUGGAUUAGGUAGUUGGUGGGGUAAUGGCCUACCAAGCCGACGAUCCAUAGCUGGUUUGAGAGGAUGAUCAGCCACACUGGGACUGAGACACGGCCCAGACUCCUACGGGAGGCAGCAGUGGGGAAUCUUAGACAAUGGGCGCAAGCCUGAUCUAGCCAUGCCGCGUGAGCGAUGAAGGCCUUAGGGUUGUAAGGCUCUUUCGUGGGGGAAGAUAAUGACUGUACCCCAAGAAGAAGCCCCGGCUAACUCCGUGCCAGCCGCCGCCGUAACAC
rnacentral:rRNA from 1 species